UAGGUGUUCUGCGGCGUCGGUUCGUGUCUUCACCGGGGCCGGGUGCUGCGUUCCAUAGAGUUUCCUAAAGUUUUAGAAAACUAUAUGCUGUGUUCCUCGUGAAAGUCUGGGAUGCUGCUUAGUGCUCGGAGAAUGCGAUCGGGGCAUCCAAGCUCGAGUUCUCCUGUCCUUGAAUUCUUGCGCAACCGACAUCAAGUUGUCUGCUGCUUUUGCUCGGUGUAAAUGUUAACGUGUGUUCGAUGAACGUGUUUUGUGAGGGCUGCGGAUCCACUGCGCAGUUUGCUCCAAAUGCUGCUGUAUGGGACCCCAGCCAAGAAUUGCUCAUCUCUCAGCUCAAAUAUGUCCAGAGUCGGGCUGCUCAUUUCAUCCUUUCUAACUAUCAUCGCACAUGAAAGCAAGCUUGUCAUUGCCUCUGCCAUUAGAGUGUGAAAAAAUGUUUCACCUCUGCCUGUUCCUCAAGAUAUAUUAUGAAAGAAUUAAAUUGAUAAUGCCUGCUUCGUACGCAUCUACCCGCAUCAACUAUCGUCAUAAGGUUGGUAUUGUACCAUUGCAUUCCUCUACAUCUUUAAGCAUCCUCUUAGUUUUCCUUUUUUGUUUGCCCCAAUAUUUUCACAUGUAUUCCUUGGUUCAUAAGCACGUGCUGGUGCUCCGUGUGCUAUUUCAUUUUGUAUCUUUACUGUGAAGCACCCUUAUUUUCACUUUGUAUUAUUUAAAAUGUUCUUGUCGUUUUAUACUGUGUGCUAUUUAUUGUCAGUUUUCUUCAUAAUUGAUUAUGUUUUCACCCUAGCUUUUUUCUAUUUUUUAUGAAAACAUGUUGUGCUGCGAAUGUAACCCUCUCCAUUCUGUGAUGUCCUCGAGCCCUGAGGGGAAAGAAAAUAAAUGAAUAAAUAAAUAGGCA